AGAUUGAACGCUGGCGGCAGGCCUAACACAUGCAAGUCGAACGGUAGCACAGGGGAGCUUGCUCCCUGGGUGACGAGUGGCGGACGGGUGAGUAAUGUCUGGGAAACUGCCCGAUGGAGGGGGAUAACUACUGGAAACGGUAGCUAAUACCGCAUAACGUCGCAAGACCAAAGAGGGGGACCUUCGGGCCUCUUGCCAUCGGAUGUGCCCAGAUGGGAUUAGCUAGUAGGUGGGGUAACGGCUCACCUAGGCGACGAUCCCUAGCUGGUCUGAGAGGAUGACCAGCCACACUGGAACUGAGACACGGUCCAGACUCCUACGGGAGGCAGCAGUGGGGAAUAUUGCACAAUGGGCGCAAGCCUGAUGCAGCCAUGCCGCGUGUAUGAAGAAGGCCUUCGGGUUGUAAAGUACUUUCAGCGGGGAGGAAGGUGCUGUGGUUAAUAACCACAGCAAUUGACGUUACCCGCAGAAGAAGCACCGGCUAACUCCGUGCCAGCAGCCGCGGUAAUACGGAGGGUGCAAGCGUUAAUCGGAAUUACUGGGCGUAAAGCGCACGUAGGCGGUCUGUCAAGUCGGAUGUGAAAUCCCCGGGCUCAACCUGGGAACUGCAUCCGAAACUGGCAGGCUAGAGUCUUGUAGAGGGGGGUAGAAUUCCAGGUGUAGCGGUGAAAUGCGUAGAGAUCUGGAGGAAUACCGGUGGCGAAGGCGGCCCCCUGGACAAAGACUGACGCUCAGGUGCGAAAGCGUGGGGAGCAAACAGGGUUAGAUACCCUGGUAGUCCACGCCGUAAACGAUGUCGACUUGGAGGUUGUUCCCUUGAGGAGUGGCUUCCGGAGCUAACGCGUUAAGUCGACCGCCUGGGGAGUAUGGCCGCAAGGUUAAAA
rnacentral:rRNA from 1 species